UCCAACUUCUUCUGUAUCUGCCGGAAAGUAUAAUUUAAUUUAAUCACUUUACUUUAGACUUUGAUUAAGUCAUAGGACAUACUGCUACUGAUUUGGACUGAUUUGAUAGCAGGCCUAUUGCUUGCCUUAUAAAUCAGACUAUUAUACCAAUUAUUGUUAUACUAUCAAACAAAGCACUGUAAAAACGUGGAAAUCUUACUUACAAGCCAGAUUGUUGAAUAAAAAUACAUUUGAACUUACUCUACGGGGUUGUAUGUGCGUUAGGUCCCUCAGCUGGUCAGAUUUGAGACAAAAUAUGCACAGGGAAUUAUUAUUUACCCACUUUUUAGACCGCUGGUACUGCCGUUUAAAGGUCACCUGGGACAUGCGCAAAACCAUGUAAACGCCUGCAUGACAUCGACCAGCUGAAGGACCAACCAGCAGAGACCUGAGCCCUAGGACCAUGCCCCAGGACUACCUGACAUGAUGACUCCUUGCUGUCCCCAGUCCACCUGGCCAUGCUGCUGCUCCAGUUUCAACUGACCUGAGCCCUAGGACCAUGCCCCAGGACUACCUGACAUGAUGACUCCUUGCUGUCCCCGGUCCACCUGACUGUGCUGCUGCUCCAGUUUCAACUGUUCUGCCUUGUUAUUAUUCGACCAUGCUGGUCAUUUAUGAACAUUUGAACAUCUUGGCCAUGUUCUGUUAUAAUCUCCACCCGGCACAGCCAGAAGAGGACGGGCCACCCCACAUAUGCUCUCUCUAAUUCUCUCUUUCUUUCUCUCUCUCGGAGGACCUGAGCCCUAGGACCGUGCCCCAGGACUACCUGACAUGAUGACUCCUUGCUGUCCCCGGUCCACCUGACUGUGCUGCUGCUCCAGUUUCAACUGUUCUGCCUUGUUAUUAUUCGACCAUGCUGGUCAUUUAUGAACAUUUGAACAUCUUGGCCAUGUUCUGUUAUAAUCUCCACCCAGCUCAGCCAGAAGAGGACUGGCCACCCCACAUAGCCUGGUUCCUCUCUAGGUUUCUUCCUAGGUUUUGGCCUUUCUAGGGAGUUUUUCCUAGCCACUGUGCUUCUACACCUGCAUUGCUUGCUGUUUGGGGUUUUAGGCUGGGUUUCUGUACAGCACUUUGAGAUAUCAGCUGAUGUACGAAGGGCUAUAUAAAUACAUUUGAUUUGAUUUGGUUGGUGCAGGUUGGUAUUUAGGCAUGGAGACAUCGUCAUUGUCACGCUGGCUAUUACCAACGUAGGGAGAUGUCACAUUCCUGACUGAGUGAGAGCCUAUAGUGUAUUAAAACGGUCUUAUUCAGGA